rnacentral:misc_RNA from 1 species
AAAGUCGUAACAAGGUCUCCGUAGGUGAACCUGCGGAGGGAUCAUUACAGAGAACAUUGCCCCUACGGGGUGACUCUCCAACCCAAUGUUAUUAUACCUUUGUUGCUUUGGCGAGCCGUCUCGGCCACCGGCUCACGCUGGUGAGUGCUCGCCAGAGGAUCUCAAACUCUGAAUUAAAGUAUUGUCUGAGUAUUAUAUAAUAGUUAAAACUUUCAACAACGGAUCUCUUGGUUCUG